rnacentral:rRNA from 1 species
AAUACGUAGGGGGCGAGCGUUGCCCGGAUUUACUGGGCGUAAAGCGCACGUAGGCGGCAGUUUAAGUCUGGUGUGAAAUCUCACGGCUCAACCGUGAGGCUGCACCAGAUACUGCGGCGCUCGAGGGCAGGAGAGGGGAUUGGAAUUCCCGGUGUAGCGGUGAAAUGCAUUGAUAUCGGGAGGAACACCAGUGGCGAAGGCGGAUCCCUGGCCUGCUACUGACGCUGAGGUGCGAAAGCUGGGGGAGCGAAAGGGAUUAGAUACCCCUGUAGUCCCAGCCCUAAACGAUGGGUGCUAGGUGUUGGGGGGAUUACCCCUCAGUGGUUUAGCUAACGCAUUAAGCACCGUUUCUGGGGAGUACGGGUUUAAGGCU